GAAACGAAGCACCAGCUCGCUCGCACUCAGUCGCCAGAGCAGAGCAUCAGCCCAUCACAGCACCCAAAAUACCGCAAAGCCACGAGCGCACGCGCGUGCACUUGCACUCAUGGGGGCGAGGCAGCACGGUGGGAGAGGGGAUAUGUCGACGACCACGAGGUCGAGGCUGGCGGCGGCGGCGGACAUGGCGUCGUGAUGCUUCGCUCUGUCGGCGCUGGCGGCCCUGCUGAUGGUGUGCUCGCUCGGGGAGGCGGAGGCGGUCACUGUGCGUGGCGCGUCGCUGGCGGCGGGGUGGCGGCCGUGCGAGGAGAUGUACGUGGUGGCGGAGGGCGAGACGCUGCACGGCAUCAGCGACCGGUGCGGCGACCCCUACAUCCUGGAGCGCAACCCGCACGUCCACGACCCCGACGACGUCUUCCCCGGGCUCGUCCUCAGGAUCACGCCCUCCAGCCCGAGGCCGUCCGUCCCCGUUAGCCCCCCGUAGGUAGACCAAGGAAAAAGAAGAGUUUGAUUGUUCUGCAGAAUCAUUCGAGUUCGCUACGACGAACUCUGAUUUACGAGCAACCUCGGUACUCCCAGUACUAGUACACAGUUCACUGAUGGAUGAUAUAUAAGCCUCGUUCAUGAUAA